rnacentral:misc_RNA from 1 species
GGUAUCUAAAAAUGCAUCCAUGUGUGUUUCCCUAAAGAAACCAUUAACAUUUUGGUUCUUAAUUCUUGGUAAUGCUUAUUAUAUUUUUUGUUGAUAGAGUUAAUGGUCUAUGUAAUUACAUGUUGAGCUUACAGUCAGUGAUGAUGAAUGUGAACGUGUAAAUCUGAAACAUAUGAUUUUCAAAAUACUGGGCACGUUAUGCUGUGAGUUUC